CCUUAAUCACAGGUCACAAAUCCAUUUCAAAAAUGAGAGGAUGAACAAUGUCCUGACAUCUCAAGAGGAAAGGAAUCAGAGGGGAAAAUAGAAGACAAUGCCUCCCUCCAUGGGGGGAAUAAAGCCUCGGAGAGAAGCAGAGAAGACAAAAUUCCAUCAAGGAAAGUUACGAAAUAGCCAGGGAUGAGGAAGCUGGAGUUCAGAGGCGUUAAGUACCUGCUGAAAGGUACGCAGCUGAUGACUGCCCGGGGUGGGCUCCUGAGCACAUUCUCCUACCAAGGCCUUCCUUUGAGCACUUUCCUCACUCUCCUAAGCUACGAGACCUCGAAUAAGCUAGUGAACCCUGGUGGGCCUGGGUCUCCUCCAUCGUGGUCUGGGCAACCAUCACCUGCUUACCGCAUUGUCAGAACCGGGAGAUAGGAGUGAGGCAACUCGCAAACUCUUGCGACGAGACGAGUUCAGGGAUGUUAAGGGACUGGCCCAAGGUCACCAAGCUGGACCUCCACCUGGCUGAGCCCCGGACCUGGACUCCAGCUUCUCGCGCAGAGUCCGGUGACCAAGGCAAGGAGGAGGAGAGGACGCCCUGACACAGGGCAACCGACGGCUGGGUCGCCGCCCCGCAGGGCUCUGGUCCCAUCUCGGCCGGCCGGGCCUCCGGCGGCCUCAG